rnacentral:lncRNA from 1 species
GAGGUUUAAAAGGAAGAGAUGAAUUUCUUUAGACCAAAUAAAAAUGAUCCCUCACGCUUGUCUAGAGCUUAAAGGAGUCACUGCAUAGAAGUGAUUUUAUCUGAAAGUGGAGGGGAAAAGAGAAAUUGUACAUGGACACUUCCCUCACCCUGGCAUUUCCUAUUGAAGCCCAGAAACUCUGGAAAUAGGAGAAAGACAGAUCCUGCAUGACCCACGGUGCCUUCUCACUUCCUGCUGGAGUUAUUGCAAAAGGAAUCCAGGAGACAAUGGGGCUGCUGAACACUUUCCGGAAUCGGGGCAUGCCUGCUAUGGCCACACAAGACCAGCUGCUCUACAAAGGAGCCCGUGAGCCAAAGAGGAAAACUUUGAAGAUAAAUAUUGCCAUAUGUGAAGAGAAAAAGAAAAAAAUCCCAACAAACCUUAAUUGCACGGAGCAUCGUUUUCCAAUGCUAUUUGCCGUGGGAAUAAAGGAUUUCUUGUUGUGACCCAUG